AUCUUGGAUGAAACAUUGGCAGCCAUUCACAGGGAAACAAUUGCUUGGAAAGUUUUCUUUCGACGACAGUGCUGGAAGUGAAUGUGGCCGGGAACCUGGCGGCAGGUGUGGCGGAGCUGCAGCCCUCGCCUCUGGCUGGCAGUGCGCGUGGAGAUCCCUUAGAUGGUGCUGUGUAGCAGUGCUCAGCCCCUGCCUCUCUCUGCCGCGGCCCAGGUGGUUAAAUCUUCCACACCGUGAAACUCAUUUUAUUUCUGAAGAACUGGGGAUGCAGAAUUUCAGAAUUUGUGUUGUGCUGUCAAUUACAAAGGAAUUGUAAUGGAAUUUCAAUGGAUGGGUCUCAAGCUAUGAAUAUGUCAGCUGCUCUCUGUUCCUUCAGAAGACUAACCAGAACCUGGGAAACGGCAAGAGUGAUUGAAGUUAUAAAAUGUUUUGCAGCUGAAGAAAAGAAGAUAAAGGCCUGGCAAGAUCAAGAUUCCCAGCUGUUG